rnacentral:rRNA from 1 species
CAGUCGCCGCGGUAAUACGGAGGGUGCAAGCGUUAAUCGGAAUUACUGGGCGUAAAGCGCACGCAGGCGGUCUGACAAGUCAGAUGUGAAAUCCCCGGGCUUAACCUGGGAACUGCAUUUGAAACUGUCAGGCUGGAGUCUUGUAGAGGGGGGUGGAAUUCCAGGUGUAGCGGUGAAAUGCGUAGAGAUCUGGAGGAAUACCGGUGGCGAAGGCGGCCCCCUGGACAAAGACUGACGCUCAGGUGCGAAAGCGUGGGGAGCAAACAGGAUUAGAUACCCCGGUAGUCCCUGUCUCUUAUAC